GACGAACGCUGGCGGCGUGCUUAACACAUGCAAGUCGAACGAUGACGACCGAGCUUGCUCGGUCUGAUUAGUGGCGAACGGGUGAGUAACACGUGAGCAACCUGCCCUUCACUCUGGGAUAACCUCGGGAAAUCGGGGCUAAUACCGGAUAUGAGCUCCUGUCGCAUGGCGGGUGUUGGAAAGUUUUUCGGUGAAGGAUGGGCUCGCGGCCUAUCAGUUUGUUGGUGGGGUAGUGGCUCACCAAGGCGAUGACGGGUAGCCGGCCUGAGAGGGUGACCGGCCACACUGGGACUGAGACACGGCCCAGACUCCUACGGGAGGCAGCAGUGGGGAAUAUUGCACAAUGGGCGAAAGCCUGAUGCAGCGACGCCGCGUGAGGGAUGACGGCCUUCGGGUUGUAAACCGCUUUCGGCUGGGAAGAAGCGAAAGUGACGGUACCUGCAGAAGAAGCGCCGGCUAACUACGUG
rnacentral:rRNA from 1 species